CCCGCCGCCCGAGGGGGCCGGCCGGGCGCCUCCUACCCUCCCGCGCGCUUCCUUACACCGACCCCGAGUGCUCGCCGCUGCCCCGGCUCCGGAAGGGAAACGGACCCGCAACGGAGAGGAGGCUGACGGGCGCGGGAAGGAGGGGUCGCUCGCGCGCCGCUCACCUGGGUGCUGUGGCCGGAGGCCGCCUCACGCGCCGCCCGUGACGUCCCGAGCUCGUGCGCACGCGCCGGCGCGCUAAGCAGCCCCUCCGCGCAGCUCCCGGCGGCGCGCUCGGCUUCCGGGGGCGGGGCGAGCGGAGGGAGGGGCGGGGCCGCCAGUGGAGCGGGACGGGGCGGGGCCGAGCGGCGGGCGUCACAGACCGCGGAGGCCGGGCGGCCUAGGGAGGCUCCGCGGGCCCCGCCCGCGGCUCACCAAUGGGAAGGAACACGUGGCGGAAGUCAUCCUCCGGAGAGCCGUCCGGAUCCGACCGCUGCUGCCCCCGCUGUGAACGGCAAUGCUGAAAAGAAGCAGCAAGAGAUCGGAGAUGUAAGGGGCCGUGAACCAAAGAAAGCAGGCACCUGUGGAAACUGACAAAGGGGAAGAAGAGAUUCUCUCCUGAAGCCUCCAAAAGGAAGACCAGGCCAAGACCUUAAUUUUAGACUUUUGACCUCCAGAACACCAAAAGAUGGAAAAACCCCAAAUGUCCAUCAACAAAGGAAUGGGAAACAAGAUGUGGCGUAUACAAACAAUGGAAUUUUAUUCGGCCUUGGAAAGAGUGGAAUUAUAUACGCUCCAAGAUGGGUGAACCUUGAGGUCAUUAUGUGAAAGAAGGUAUACACAAAGGGGCAAAUAUUAUAGGAUUCCACUUAUAUGUGGUACCCAAAAUAGGCAAGUCAUGGGGAUAAGGGAAUUAGUGUUCAAUGGGCAUUGUUUCUGUAUGGGAUGAUGAAAAUGUUCUGGAGAUGACUAGUGGUGAUGGUUGUGCAACAAUGUGAAUAUACUUAAUGCCACUGAACUGUAUGCUUAAAAAUGAUUAAAAUAGUAAAUUCUGUGUAUAUUAUACCCUGAUGAAAUAAAAAGUAAGA